GACACAUGCUCAUGUCCACAUGUCCAAUGUAAACUCGCGAAGAGCGCUUGGAGGCCAAUACUACUAAUGGACUGGGAAUGGAAUCACAGAAAAAAUACUGUUAUGCCAUGACAUUGGACCUGGGAAAAACAUCACCAAGGCAAGCUGAGUUUUUGCGAAAGGAACGCAUGGGAUACAAGAGCCAAAUGGGAUGCUGGCAGGGAUUGCUCGUUUGAAGAAGUCUUUCAAUUAAUGUUUGCAGGGGGAAACAUAGACUAAGACAUCUGCUCCUGCAUGGUGCAUUCUGCCUUGAUGUGGGUUCAGUGGAUCAUCAUCAUCAGUAGAAGCAGCAUCUUCAUCAUCACCAGCAUGACCCCCUCUUCCUCCUCAAGUUGAUUUCUGUGACUGCAAUGUUGUGACUGGAUUUUUUUUAGGAGUUUUGGGGAAAAUCAGUGUGGUGUUCAUAAGUUUUAUCAGCAAAGAUGUUACUGCUUUCACAAUCUUGCUGACCUAAUACUUGCUGAGCCAAAGGCCAUCACCAACCACCUCCAUAAAACUUCCCACAGCACUAAGAACUGCACUGCUGGACUUAAGGCAUAGUUUCUUCUUGUGGCCAUCUGAAGGUGUGGUUUCACAACCUGCAGCAAUUCAAAUCUUGGUCCUUGGAAUCCAGAAUUGUCUUAUGAUAUCAUCAUCAGAUAGAGGGACAAGUGGGUAGAAAUGUGUCCUUAUCUAAGUAUUUAUAUACACUACCUGACUUCUGCAUCGCCUUCUUUGCUCAAGCUGUAGGAUUCUUUGUAAAGCCAUUGUUGAGCAUUUCAUACACACAUGUAUACUGUAUAUGUUAGGAGAGUCAUUAAUACAUCUGCUACUGAUGCACCUGAGGAAUGAAUAGAAACACCUUGGUGGCCAAUAAUCAUUGUUUCAUCAAUGAUUUGUGACGGUAAUAGGGCACAACUUAAUUUAUCAAAUUAUUGCAUUCAUCUGUUAAUGGGUAUUUGGUUUUAAAAUAGGCUUCUUUCAUAUAAAUAGGUUUUUUCUUUCUUCAUUUUUUCAUAGUUUUUAUGCUCUUGCUUGAGAAAAGUAAGGCCUCUCUUUAGAAUUGUCUGAGUAUUUAAAUAAAGGAUGUUCUGUGUCAUGUUUAGCUUAUAUUAUCAUGGCAAGUAUCUUAUGUAUUGAGAAAAUCUUUACAUAUCCAGCUAUAAUGCCUUGUCCACACUAAUACAUUUUCGUUUCAAAACGCAUCUUUUUCUCUCCGUUUUGGCUUUCCGUCCACACUGAGACAGCAUUUUUGUGACAUUGAUCUAUCCAACCAAAACAAUCAAGAUGGCAGCCCGUGUUAUAGCGGCACUGUUGUAACUGAUACUUACUUUGAUAGCAUUGUUAAAAAAUAAAUGUUACUUUGUACAACCAUCAUAUUGCGUUCCUUCAAAGGCGAAGGGAAGUUUACUUGGAAUUGGUGUCCGGCGACAGAACACGAGGACAAUUGCUUUUAAGACCGUACAUGCUAUGGGGAUUUUCAGCAUGCGCAGUAACAUGUUUUAAGCGUUUUCAUAUGUUUCAGUGUGGAAGAGCAACUUUUAGAAAAUGCUUGAAAAUGCUAGUGUGGACAGAGAGCGUUUUGAAACAAAAACACCAUUUUCAAAUGUAUCCUGAUGAAUGUAGUUCUCUCUCUGCCUUAGUUACUUGAAUGUUGUGUAUGUGAUGGUGGGUCAUCACCAUUGCAAAACAAUAAAGGUUUGUAUUUCAUACCAUACAUACGAUUUUUAAUAACACUUACAGUAUAUAAUUUAUUACUGACCUUAUUCUGGUAGUUGAUAAUGAAGUAAUGACGUUGCAUGACAUGAUUCACAAAAUAAUUGCUUGAAGCAGUCCUCAGAUGCCAUGUUCGCUAUUUACAGCAGCGUCAAGGAGAAAUAACGUUGCUAUGGAGCUGCUUACUGACCAAACAGUUUGUAUACUUUAGAAGAGUACGCCACUUACAACAUGCAUAUUAACAUAA